rnacentral:rRNA from 1 species
GGCGAACGCUGGCGGCGUGCUUAACACAUGCAAGUCGAACGGAAAGGCCCUGCUUUUGUGGGGUGCUCGAGUGGCGAACGGGUGAGUAACACGUGAGUAACCUGCCCUUGACUUUGGGAUAACUUCAGGAAACUGGGGCUAAUACCGGAUAGGAGCUCCUGCUGCAUGGUGGGGGUUGGAAAGUUUCGGCGGUUGGGGAUGGACUCGCGGCUUAUCAGCUUGUUGGUGGGGUAGUGGCUUACCAAGGCUUUGACGGGUAGCCGGCCUGGGAGGGUGACCGGCCACAUUGGGCCUGAGAUACGGCCCAGACUCCAACGGGAGGCAGCAGUGGGGAAUAUUGCACAAUGGGCGGAAGCCUGAUGCAGCAACGCCGCGUGCGGGAUGACGGCCUUCGGGUUGUAAACCGCUUUCGCCUGUGACGAAGCGUGAGUGACGGUAAUGGGUAAAGAAGCACCGGCUAACUACGUG